rnacentral:lncRNA from 1 species
GCUCUUUUACUAAGCCAUAAUACUAGUACAAUGUUUUAAGCAUUAUGCUGUGAAUCUCUUGCAGAUGAAAUGCUGCAACAGGAAUAUCUGUACAAUAAGGAGAUUGGAGGAUGCUUUUCUGUACAACUUUAUCAUUCAGAUGGUCUGGAGGAUCUGGAUGACUGAAAACCAACAAGUAAAUAGAGCCCUUUCUAUUAUAUAUCCAAGUGUUGGGACGGCAUGACGUUGUCCAUUUGGGCACAUCUCCAUGCUGUGAUCUUCCCACGCCAUCGAUUCCUGUUCCUUUACGAACCCGACAAGGAUGCGAGUUGGCAAAGAUACGGCAACGCAGACACAGGUAUCGCUUAUCUGAGAAACCCACAGGGGAAAAAAAACCCUCCUGAUUCAGGAGAGAARCAAGUUUUGAAAUAA